rnacentral:tRNA from 1 species
GGACCCCUAGCUCAGUUGGCAGAGCAACUGACUCUUAAUCAGUGGGUCUGGGGUUCGAAUCCCCAGGGGUCCACCA